GUUUUUCCCCUCCCCCAUAGUCUAUCACAGAAAUAUUAAGAUAUGAAAGAAAAAUUUUAACCAGGGCUGGGAAAGAAGAUAAUUCCGAGGAUAAAAGCAUAGAUUGUCAGCCAUACUUCCUGGCCAAGCACUGCCUCCAUAGCUCCACUGGAGGAAAAGGAGGUCUCCAGGGAAUUCAGGGGACCCCCCCAGAAGCCCACCCAGGAAGGAUAUGACCAUGCAGCUUCUUGGGUCAAUUCAGAAGAAGGUGCCAUAUGCCCAUUGCGUGACUUGAAGCGUGUUCUCCCAGCCUGACUCUUGGUCACCACUCGUUCUGUUAUUUGCAGUCAGUAACAAAGAUUCAUCCUUGUGUCCAUCAUGCAGCAAGGAGAAUCUUUGUCACUUAGUGUAAUUAAUAGCUGGACCUCGCAAGGCACGGUGGGAGAAGGAAGCUGUUCGUGCAUAGACUCGGAUAAAUUCAGAGCAGGCUUUGCAGAUCCUUUCUGCAUUUUUGACCAAUUAAGAUGCCAGAGCUCAAGCAGAGGAGGAAAUAUGGAAAACCUAAAUGCAGAUUCCUGUGACAUUAAGUGGACAAAAGGAAGAGUUAGCUCCUGCUCUAAUCCUGCUAUCAUCCAUCUGUGGAAUCUACCAGAAGGUGAAACCAGGCAGAGACUUAGGAGUUAA
rnacentral:lncRNA from 13 species